rnacentral:ncRNA from 1 species
AAUAGGGAACGUGAGCUGGGUUUAGACCGUCGUGAGACAGGUUAGUUUUACCCUACUGAUGAACUCGCCGCAAUGGUAAUUCAGCUUAGUACGAGAGGAACCGCUGAUUCGGAUAAUUGGUUUUUGCGGCUGUCCGACCGGGCAGUGCCGCGACGCUACCAUCCGCUGGAUAAUGGCUGAACGCCUCUAAGUCAGAAUCCAUGCCAGAACGCGGUGAUACCACCCGC